UACGUAGGGUGCAAGCGUUGUCCGGAAUUAUUGGGCGUAAAGAGCUCGUAGGCGGUUUGUCGCGUCUGCUGUGAAAACCCGAGGCUCAACCUCGGGCCUGCAGUGGGUACGGGCAGACUAGAGUGCGGUAGGGGAGAAUGGAAUUCCGGGUGUAGCGGUGAAAUGCGUAGAUAUCCGGAGGAACACCGGUGGCGAAGGCGGCUUCCUGGACCGACACUGACGCUGAGGCGCGAAAGCUAGGGGAGCAAACGGG
rnacentral:rRNA from 1 species